AGUAUGGACUGAAAGCUCCAAGUCUGGAAGUAUUUAAUAAAGAAAUAUCUUUUUCCCCUCAAAGUAUAACUUUUGUCCACACUCCAGCAUUGUAAGUGACGUUAAUGUACCUUAACGUGUGUUGCCAUUAAAUGAAAAAGAAGAAGAGUUUAUUCAUCUUGCCCUGUUCGCGCAAUGGCAAUAUUGAAAUAAACAAACUGAAAAAAAACUUUGCAAUACCAAAUUCCCGAGUGAAAUGGACGUUUUGGAUAUGAGGAGACACAACACCCCCAUAGUCAGAUUGGUGAAGCUGAGGCCGUGAUGGCGGACUUCUACACUGCCAUAACAUAAGGUGGAUGAAUAAAACACUACAAGCUCUUUUGAACCGAAUCUGCCAAUGCGGGUCCGGAACUCAGCUGGGCCCCCCCAAGCCGCACCAAACGUGCUGAAGGCUGGCACCCAACCAACUCUGAAAGAAAAAAACCUUCUACAAGAAAUCUGCUCCUGUUUGGCUGCUCAACGCCUGCACUUCUAACAUGACCAAAAGUUAGAACUGGAACAAACUCUGAAAACCACCAUGGCUCCAUCACACCCAGCCAAGUGGGGGUAUGUGAAGAUGUUAUCACCCUCCUGCCCGAGGGUGCCAUAGAGCUCCAUGCGAGAAUCGACACAGGUCCUCCGCUGCCCCCUCCCAUUCCAGUGAAACUUCUCCCUUGGCCAUCUGAACCACCAGGUGAAACUUUACUUUCCCUGUGAUAUUGGGGUUGAUGCUAUAUAUUACUAAAAGUAAUUUAGUGUUAGGUCAGGAGUAGGAUCUCCCUUCAAUAUAAUCAUGAUAUGGAAUUGUAAAGUAUUUCACUCGUGCUUCCCAAUAACCUCUCAGCUGCUGAAUGGUGCAUUAAGGUGAUUUCACUGGUCAAUAUUAAAGUUUUAUCCACUUAGUGGUUUCCUGUGUUCACACGAGUUAACACAAGCUUGCCAAGAUAAUCAUUCACUGCGGUAUAAAAUAAUCCUCAUUUCAUGCCUUAAUUGUCUGUCGCUGUAUUCAAGGUUUCAUUC